CCGGGAGGAUUUUAUUUCCAAAUAUAAAAUUCAUGCCAUGCUCACAGGCAGAACCUUAGAAUAGUCAUAAUGAUCUAAUGACAGUAUUACCAUGGAAGGCUGCUACUAAUACCUUGAACUACUGCCGUUCUAUACAGAUCCAGGGAUAUGAUUUCAAAGCUCAUGUGGAAUGAAGACUGCCCCACCUGAAAGCAAUCUACCCAAGUAAAAAGGAGAAGGAAGAAAAGAAAAGGGCAGAAUGCAACUGAAGCCCACAAUUUGGGAUAUCUAGGAUGGGGAGGAAGAAGAGGAAAUAAGAGAAAUUCCAAUUACAUGUGCACAGAGAGGAGACAGAAGGAGUCAAGAGAGAACAGGCCAGCAUAGCUUGUGAUCUGGAUCAGGAAGGUGUAGCCACUUGAAUGACCCAUAAAUGGAGACCAUGCAGGAGUGAGGAGGCUCAGGGAUUCUAUUGGUCAAGUCAUUUGAUUGCAAUUGACAGAAUCCACUCCCAUUAUGUUAAGCAAGAAAUGGAUAUAUUAAAGUAUGUUAAAUAACUUACAGAAUUUUUGGGAAGGCUGAACAAAUGGAACAGAGGCUAGUGGUCUAAAGUGAAAUCAUGCCAGAAAAGUGGUCUGAGAAGAAAACUGCCACCACGCCAUCAAUAUCCCUUGUGCCACUUCCUUGUCAAGAGUUCAUCCUUGCAAAUACUCAUGUCCCCCAAAAGCUGGAUACCUCUAACACAGGCUAACAGACUGGAAGCUAUUUUGUUUUGUUGCUCAUUUCCGAAUUGACGUCUUGCUCAGAUGGUCUGUGUCCUAGAUUAAAAGUGGCUGAAGAUUUUUUAAUAAUUAAAAUAAUAACUAUAUUUAUUGAAUGCUUUCUAAGUUAGACAAUUGUAAGUACUUCCCAGGUAUGAAAUUAUGAAUGCAAACGUCAUCCCAGCUCUCAUAUUUACCAUAAAAGUUGAAAUAUUCUUCCA
ensembl:lincRNA